rnacentral:lncRNA from 1 species
ACGUGGGGGCAACCAAUAAGAAGUAGUAGCCCGAGUCUCACGUCAACGAGUUGGAGGGGAAGAGAAAUAAAAGCUAAAGCCUGGACGAGGAGAGUUAUGGAGUUUCAUAAUGGGAUUGUAAGCCUCUGUGGCAAAGGGUACAGUCCCAUUUAAUCCCAUUGCCCUUCAAACUCUUCUAUCUUCCUGCAGCAAGUAAGAAACCAGCAUGUACUCCCUCCUCA